rnacentral:rRNA from 1 species
GUCUAUGGCCACACCACCCUGAAGGCGCCCGAUCUCAUCUGUUCUUGGAAGCUAAGCAGGGCCAGGCCUGGUUAGCACUUGGAUAGGAGAAAGCAUGGUCUGGACA